UGGGGAAUUUUGGACAAUGGGCGCAAGCCUGAUCCAGCCAUGCCGCGUGAGUGAAGAAGGCCUUCGGGUUGUAAAGCUCUUUCGGUUGGGAAGAAAUUGCUUCGGAUAAUACCCGGAGUAGAUGACGGUACCAGCAUAAGAAGCACCGGCUAACUACGUGCCAGCAGCCGCGGUAAUACGUAGGGUGCGAGCGUUAAUCGGAAUUACUGGGCGUAAAGCGUGCGCAGGCGGUUUUGUAAGUCAGAUGUGAAAUCCCCGGGCUCAACCGGGGAACUGCAUUUGAAACUGCAAGGCUAGAGUGUGGCAGAGGGGGGUAGAAUUCCUCGUGUAGCAGUGAAAUGCGUAGAGAUGUGGAGGAAUACCGAUGGCGAAGGCAGCCCCCUGGGCCAAUACUGACGCUCAUGCACGAAAGCGUGGGGAGCAAACA
rnacentral:rRNA from 1 species